GAUGAACGCUGGCGGCGUGCCUAAUACAUGCAAGUCGAGCGAACGGACGAGAAGCUUGCUUCUCUGAUGUUAGCGGCGGACGGGUGAGUAACACGUGGAUAACCUACCUAUAAGACUGGGAUAACUUCGGGAAACCGGAGCUAAUACCGGAUAAUAUUUUGAACCGCAUGGUUCAAAAGUGAAAGACGGUCUUGCUGUCACUUAUAGAUGGAUCCGCGCUGCAUUAGCUAGUUGGUAAGGUAACGGCUUACCAAGGCAACGAUGCAUAGCCGACCUGAGAGGGUGAUCGGCCACUCUGGAACUGAGACACGGUCCAGACUCCUACGGGAGGCAGCAGUAGGGAAUCUUCCGCAAUGGGCGAAAGCCUGACGGAGCAACGCCGCGUGAGUGAUGAAGGUCUUCGGAUCGUAAAACUCUGUUAUUAGGGAAGAACAUAUGUGUAAGUAACUGUGCACAUCUUGACGGUACCUAAUCAGAAAGCCACGGCUAACUACGUG
rnacentral:rRNA from 1 species